rnacentral:rRNA from 1 species
UACGUAGGUCGCAAGCGUUGUCCGGAUUUACUGGGCGUAAAGAGCGCGCAGGCGGCUGGUCAAGUCCGAUGUGAAAUCUCCCGGCUUAACUGGGAAACUGCAUCGGAAACUGAUCGGCUUGAAGGUGGGAGAGGGUAGUGGAAUUCCCGGUGUAGUGGUGAAAUGCGUAGAUAUCGGGAGGAACACCAGUGGCGAAGGCGGCUACCUGGCCCACUCUUGACGCUGAGGCGCGAAAGCUAGGGGAGCAAACGGG